rnacentral:misc_RNA from 1 species
GAUGAAUUCCACAAUUCUGCGUACUAUACAUAACCAUCUGACUGGUAUCAGUAGAGUAGUUCAGCAUGGUAAUAAUUGCACCUUCGUUGAUGUCCUUCUUUUUAAUAUCACCAAUGCCUGAAUACUUCUCAGCAACGUUGCCAAUACCUUUGGAGAAGUAAUCAACUGAAAACAUAUGAAUCAAACCAUCACAAGAACCAACAACAACUUGAGCAGACCCCCG